AACGAACGCUGGCGGCAGGCUUAACACAUGCAAGUCGAGCGGGCCCUUCGGGGUCAGCGGCGGACGGGUGAGUAACGCGUGGGAACGUGCCCUCUUCUACGGAAUAGCCCAGGGAAACUUGGAUUAAUGCCGUAUACGCCCGAAAGGGGAAAGAUUUAUCGGAGGAGGAUCGGCCCGCGUUGGAUUAGGUAGUUGGUGGGGUAAUGGCCUACCAAGCCGACGAUCCAUAGCUGGUUUGAGAGGAUGAUCAGCCACACUGGGACUGAGACACGGCCCAGACUCCUACGGGAGGCAGCAGUGGGGAAUCUUGGACAAUGGGGGCAACCCUGAUCCAGCCAUGCCGCGUGAACGAUGAAGGCCUUAGGGUUGUAAAGUUCUUUCAGCUGGGAAGAUAAUGACGGUACCAGCAGAAGAAGCCCCGGCUAACUCCGUGCCAGCCGCCGCGGUAACAC
rnacentral:rRNA from 1 species